rnacentral:misc_RNA from 1 species
GAGAGAGAGGCAUGGAAGGAAGGAAGGAACAGCAAGCAAAGGAAAGGGAAGGGAAGAUUCCAAAAUGAGACACAGUAAUUGUGAUAGCACGUAAAAGUGUUAACAUCAUUCUAGGCUAGCACCACCCAUACACAUGUUUACAUAAAAAAGAACAAUAUCUCUUUCUCUCUGUAUAUAUAUGUAAGACUUAUUACAUGGGCACACCUAACAAGCAAACAGAAGAAGAAACAUGCAUGUAAAUGCAAUAUUAAAGAGUAGAAAUUAAAAGGGGUGGAUUUUCUUGAGAGUAGAAAAGAAAAGAGAGACGAAGAGAGAUGUCCGUACAGUACAUCUGCAAGGAGGGAGAGGGAGAGAGACAAAGAAAAGGGUAAGAGAGCAGAGGGAAGAGAGGGGCAGUUCGGAUUGAGAAUAAGUGUGAAAGGCACGAGACAGGAGGAGAACAAUAAAUGAAAGGGUGAUGAGGCUUAUGAUAACCCUCAUGAUCGUUGCGUCGUUUUCCAUUUGCUACUCCCAAUAUCUCCUCCCAGAAUUCCACACUUCCCCUUCUCUUCUGUCUUCCAUCCUUCUCCUCUUCUUCCUCCUCCUCAACUUUUUGCUUUUGUCUUCUCUACUGUCAUACUAUUUCUUUCUCCCUCUCUUUCCUCGUUCACAUUUUAUUUCAUGAGAAAUUC